rnacentral:tRNA from 1 species
AUUUAAAUAGUUUAUAAAAAAUUCUAACUUGUGGAGUUAGAGAUGUAUGUGCUGCAUACUUUAGAUA